ensembl:lncRNA
GAGACAGGGUGGAGACAGGGUGAGACAGGGGUGAGACAGGGUGGAGACAGGGUGAUACAGGGGUGAUACAGGGUGAUACAGGGUGGGGACAGUGAACUAUGUCAAACUCACUCUUCAUUUUUCAUUUUAUUUCCUCCACAUGUUCGUAGUCGAGGGGCCAGAGAAACUUAAUGACCAGUCAUAGAAACAGAGAAACCACAAAACCAGAAAAAGGAGUAUCUCAGUCCAACCAUUGUCCUGCAUCUCUCUCUGCCUCAGCAUCCCUGCCUCAGUCUGACUCUUUCUGUCUCUGCCUGAGUCCGUCUCUCAGCGUGUCG